CCUGUUAGCGUUAGCUAGUGCGGCGCUAGCAUUAGCACUAGCGUAAGUGCUGUGCUAGCGUGCUGCUGCUGUCUUACUGGCAUGUGUCAAUGAUAUUUACUGGUAAGUUUUAUCUUAACUGGCCCUGUUAGCGUUACCUAGCACCGCACUAGUACUAGCAUUAGUAUUAGCGCUGUGCCAGGGUGUUUCUGCUGUCUUACUGGCGUGCCUCAGUGAUAUUUACGGGUAAGUUUUAUUCUAACUGGCCCUGUUAGCGUUAGCUUUUGCGGCGCUAGCGUUAGCACUAGCGUAAGUGCUGUGCUAGCGUGUUGCUGCUGUCUUACUGGCAUGUGUCAAUGAUAUUUACUGCCGCAAAGGGGCACUCGAGCGGAAAAGGGGGCACUCAAGCGGAAAAGGUAAGAGUGACACCGGUGGAAUAUAUGUGCCGAGGAAGUGACUUUUACCGGCCGAGUGUUAGCAUGUUGCUGCUGUGUUAUUGGCAAGUCUCAGUGAUAUUUACCGGUAAGUUUUAUUUUAACCAGCCCUGCUAGCGUUAGCACUAGCAUUAGGUAACAGCCACAAGGGGGGUAAGAGCGAGACCGGUGGAAUAUAUGUGCAGAGAAAGUGACUUUUCCCAGUCCAGCCCUGUUAGCGCUGCAUUAGCAUGUUACUGACGAGUCUCUGUGAUUUUUACCAGUAUGUUUUUUUUUUUUUACCGGCCCUGUUCGCGCGGCGCUAGCAUUAGCUAAUGGCCACAAGGAAGACUUGAACAGAAAAGGUAAGAGCGAGACCAGUGGAAUAUAUGUGCCGAGGAAGUGACUUUUACCAGUCCAUCCCUGUUAGCGCUGUGUUACCGUGUUACUGCCGUGUCUGAGUGAUUUUUACCGGGAUGUUUUUUUUAACCGGCCCUGUUAGAGCGGCGCUAGCGUUAGCAUUAAGGCGACACUAGCGUUAGUGCGGCGCUAGCGUUAGCCUAUGGCCUAUGUAUGUACCAAAUGGUAUUUCCUUUCCAAAUGUACUGGGUGAGGCUUAUAACCAGGUGCGCUCUGUAGGCCGGGAAUUACGGUACUUAUCUGAGGUACAGACAAAUUCAAAAACGACUGCACAAGACUUUUUAUUUUUCUGCACUUAAUUUGACAAAAAUCGGCUUUGUGGUCAUGAGUGGGGGGUCUCCCGUGUAUGGCGUCCGUGGACCCAGAAAGUUUGAGAACCCCCGAUCUAACCUGGGCCUCGGCGACUUCGGCGGGGCGUGAAAAAUAUUUCCAAAUCAAUGUCUCGCUCUGUAUCGCCAUCCCUCCUGAGUGCGCGGCGCACAAAGCCGAGCGACGGCGGCGGCGGCGCCGCGUAAUUACGGCAGUUUUCUACCUGUCGCGCUUAAUACACUGCCUGGCCCCGCGUCCUCUCCCGGCCGCCCAGUGUUUUCCCCCUGGCGCUCAUUCAUCGCGAGCACUUAGCCAAAGAGGAAAUUGCGAAGAAAUGAUAGGAUAAACACCAUAAAAGAAGAAAGUAUGACAACUAAAUCAUCAACUCUCAAUACAAAGCUCCCCGCCUGGCACCUGAGCGCCAUUAUGAGCGAGCGGCUUCGGAGAAUACGGCGGCGGCGGGCGAGCGCGCGCGUCGCCGGCGGAAACCCUGCCGUCUAAUUGAGAGGAGAGCCGGCAGACGGGGCGAGGAGGGUGACAUUUCCCUCUCGGUGACGGGCCGCGUUACCACCGCGUUAAUGAUGCCGUUUACCGUCGCCCGCGGAGAGACAGCGAGACGCCGGCGGGGGGUCCGUGCCGAGUGUGUGUUGAGCAAGACAAUCGCAAAUGUGAGACAUACCGUAUACUAUAUUGCUUAAAUACAACACUCAAAAGAAAGUAUUUAAUGUACACACCGACGCAGCCACUACGAUAUUGCAAUUAAAUAAAACAAAAAGUUUGAGUGGGGAUUCUUGAAUUAUUCCUCGUGAAUGAUGACUGCACGUUAAACUCGAGCCGGCGCGUUCCACUCGCUGCCUUUGUCGUUUGUCGCCAGCUCUUUUGUGGGCGACAUCUGUCACAGGGGCCCGAGGACUUGGCGACGACGGUGAAACGCAACACCUCAGUCACACAACGAGGUCGGGGGGCUUUUCCCGAACAACUGAACUUAAUCUCUCUCCCCCCCCCCCCUAAAAAAAUGUCUUCAAGUUGACUUGAAUUCAUUUUACCUCAGCUAGUGUUGAAUAAUUGUGACUACAAUCAUUUAUGUAACAUGGGCUCCCCGAUUGUACACAUGGUAGGUGCAUGGCGCGCAUCUUCUUUUUCCUUUCGGCUUGUCCCGUUUAGGGGUCGCCACAGCGUGUCGUAUUUUCCCAUCUAAGCCUCUCUCGUGCAUCUUCCUCACUCCCACCCACAGUCUUCACGUCCUCUCUCACAACAUCCAUCAACCUUUUCUUUGGUCUUCCUCUUGCUCUCUCUUCCUUGACAGCUCCAUCCUUACCAUCCUUCUACCGAUAUACUCCCUCUCUCGCCUCUGGACAUGUUCAAACCAUCGAGGUCUGCUCUCUCGGACCUUGUCUCCAAACAUCCAACUUUGGCUGCCCCUCUAAGGAUCUCAUUUCUAAUGCUAUCCAACCUGCUCACUCCGAGCGAGAACCUCAACAUCUUCAUUUCUGCCACCUCCAGUUCUGCUUCCUGCCACCGUCUCCAAACCAUACAUCAUGGCCGCCCUUACCACUCUUUUGUAUACUUUGCCCUUCAUCCUAGCGGAGACUCUUCUGUCACAUAGAACACCAGACACCUUGCGCCAACUGUUCCACCCCGCUUGGACCCGUUUCUUCACUUCCUUUCCACACUCACCAUUGGUCCGUAUUGUUGACCCCGAGUAUUUGAAGUCGUCCACCCUCGCUAUCUUUUCUCCCUGUAGCCUCACUCUUCCCCCUCCAGAUAUUCAGUUUUACUUCAGCUAAUCUUCAUUCCUCUCCUUUCCAGUGCGUGCCUCCCUCCAUCUUUCUAAUUGUUCCUCCGCCUGCUCCCUGCUUAUCACAAUAUCAUCUGCGAAGAUCGUAGUCCGAGGGGAUUCCAGUCUGACCUCGUCUGUCGUUACUACAGCAAACACGAAGGGGCUCAGCGCGGAACCCUGAUGCAGUCCCACCUCCACCUGAAAUUCUUCACUGUCUCGAUAUGUGCCCUGUAAUUGACUGGCUAACUAGUUUAUGCUGUAGUCUUGCGUCUUGAACAGAAAAAGGGAUGUCGAGAAUUGAUGGAUGAAUCCAAGGGGAUUCCAGUCUAACCACAUCUGUCACCGCAAACAGGAAGGGGCUCAGCGCGGAUCCCUGAUGCAGUCCCACCUCCACCUUAAAUUCUUCUGUCACGCCUAUGGCACGUCUCACUGCUGUUCUGCUGCCCUCAUACAUGUCCUGAACUAUACUAACAUAUUUCUCCGCCACACCGGACUUGCGCAUGCAGUACCACAGUUCCCCUCUUGGUCCUCUGUCAUGGGCUUUCUCUAGGCCUACAAAGACACAAUGUAGCUCCUUCUGACCUUCUCCGUACUUUUCCACAAGCAUCCUCAAGGCAAAUAAUGAGUCUGUGGUCCUCUUUCUAGGCACAAAAUCAUACUGUUGCUCGCAGAUACUUACUUCCGUCCUGAGUCUUCCCUCCACUACUUUCCCGUAACUUCAUUGCAUACUCAAUUCCAAACCUGGCAAGUCAACUAUUCGCAGAUUUAAAAAAAAAACAAAAAAACGCAAAAUCAGUUUUAAUCCUCUGUGAAUCGUAGCCGUUUACUGUAAAUACACCUCAUACUGUACCGCAUAUAAAAAUAAUAUAAUUGCCGAGCACAUCAUUACUGCACUAAUUGAUCGGCGUCAAAGCGCACUUUUGCAUCCAUUUUCCCCUAAGUGGCCCUGAAAACAAACCAAGACCAAGAGCACACCUCAGCGAUUGUGCGAGUGAAAAGCGAAUUCACAGACGAACAAGAGCUCUCUCUUUUUUUUUACCCCCCCCCCGCCCCCUUUUGACUCUUUUUCUCUUGUAAAGAACAAAAUACAGUGCCCGCUCGCCAAAGCGUCAUCGCUCCCUGCUGACCCGCUUAACAAGCAUGACAGUUUUGCGACGUUCCUCUUUAAAAGGCCGCCGAACAUCAGCUCUCUCUCCGUCCUUUGGAUGAAAACGCUUUUAGCCGCCUGGCUCAAGGGUACAAGCGGAGUGUGUGUGACUCAAAAGCGGGGAUGGAAAGGCAUAUGGAGUCAGUCGCUUUUUGGUCAGCGCUGAGCUUGCCCACGGGGCAUCGGGGGUCACCCUCCUGAAAAAACCCACUGUUAGCGCGGCUGAGAGGUCACGGGGGGGUUGCGUCGAGGAGCGGGGGGUCGGGGGUCGCCCCCCCCCCCCCAGAAAUUGAGCUCGAGGCUCCUCUGAUGUCUUUUUGUGCGUGUAGCGCGUUGACGGAGGCCGCGGGAGAACUCGGGCGAGGUGACCUGCGACAGGCUGUGCGGCGGGGCUGUGCCCGCCCCUGAGAACGAGCAUACGCCGCUGGCAACCCUUGAGCAAACGCACAACAGGGCUGACUUAAUGAUGAAUAGUAUUUUUAGUCAUUUUGUUUUUAUGUUUCAAUUCCGGUUGAUCAAAAUUGAGCCAAUCAAAAAUUCAUAAAACCCAAAAAUACGUUCAUCCUCUGCUUG